rnacentral:lncRNA from 1 species
GGCUUUCAUCCUUAACAUGACUUAACGAAAUGUAUAUUCGAAAAAAUUAUUUGCCAUCCACUACUAUUUGCCACCCAUAACCGUCACCCGUCAGAUACCCGUCACCCGUCUGGUCUCCGCCACCCACUACCCGUCAGAUACUCGCCACUCACUACCCGGCGGACAUCGUCACCCGUCAGAUACCCGUCACCCGUCUGGUCUCCGCCACCCGCUACCCGUCAGAUACUCGCCACUCACUACCCGUCGGAUGUCCGCCGUGACUUGCGAGGUAGGGGAAUUGCUGCUUCUUGACGUCGACAUUCUACAAUCAACCACCCAACAAAUGCAAUAAAUCAACUACAAUCAUCUCGAUUCCUUCCUUCGUUAUGUCCUUUUGAAUCCACAAUCGAAGUAUCCUGACCACCACAAACUUAUUUCUUGUGUUACCAUUUAUGGCAUUCAAUCGAACUUGCUUGUUUGAUGUUGACAUCUCCUAUGUUUAAGAUAGAAAUAUUAAAAAGACAUAUUAGCUAUCUUAAAAAUAGAACUGAAAAUAAAAUAAUUUUUAGUAACUUAAAAAUAAUUAGUUGAAAAUUAAAUUUAUUCCUAUGUUUAAGAUAGAAAUAUUAAAAAGACAUAGAUAUCUUAAAAAUAGAACUGAAAAUCAAAAUAAUUUUUAGUAACUUAAAAAUAAUUAGUUGAAAAUUAAAUUUAUGUUAUAGUGACAUGUCAAAAAGAUUGGGAAAACAUUAAAAAACAUAGAACAUUAUUAAUCAUGUAUGGUUAAUAAUAAUACCAAAAAAAAUAUCCUAAUUAAUAGUAUCACGAAUUAUUAAUUAUUAGAAGCAAUGAAGAAGAAACAUUUAUGAAAUUUAAAAAUAAGAUGCUCACAUGAUUCCUGAUUGAGCAUUCGAUUCUUGGUUCAUUUUGUAAUGUUGAAGUUUAAAUUCUUGAUUGAGCAUUCGAUUAUUAUUUCCCAUCGCUAAAGUGAUUUCUCUGAAAACUGAGAAAUAAGUAAAAUAUAGAAUCUAUUAUUAUUUUAUUUUAUUUUAUUUGCUAAGAAACUGUAGAUAAAGUUGAAGUUUUAAAUUAAAAAUAUGAAACGACAAUAUAGUAAAUGAAACAAUAGACACACACUGAAGUUUUAAAUUAAAAAUAUGAAACGACAUUAUAGUAAAUGAAACAAUAGACACACACGCUAUGCUACUAUCUCUCUUUCACACACAGACACACACAUUGCGUUUAUGAGUUAAAAAAAAGAAACAGGUAGACUUUAAGCCUGUUCAAGGGGACUGACGGCGGGAUUGCGACAGCAACGGCGAGAAACCGACGCCGGAUGGUAAUGGACAUACAUGAAUACAUGAACUAAUGGAUAUGCAUGAAUACAUCGAAUUUGAACAGUACCAUAAAGUGAGUUAAUAAUCCAACUAUAUCAAAAUCCAAGAGGUUCAGAAAACUAAAACAUUGUAUUAUAUCAUUAUACUCAUUCGAUCAAUUCCAAAAGAAUCUAAUGCAAAUCACUGGAAUACAAUAUCACAUAAAAUUGGAAUACUCUAUCAUGUUUUGUUAUGUCACUACAGAUUAAUAAUCAAACCUCCCUUUUGAAUUCUCACUCACUUGCAAUUGUAGCUGAACGGAAGCCAAAAGUAAUUGAUUUGAGUGCUGCAAUAUGCAGAAAUACAGAGAGAAAAUAGGCUAUAAAUCACAAACGAACCUGUAAGGCAGUUAUUAAAGGAUUUCUACUCUCACCACAUAUAAGAUCACAUUUUUUUACUGGCAAAUGAUUGAAAACAUCAGUUAUUAAAAUACUAUAAAUAAGCAGCUACCACAAACGGACCUGUAAGGCAGAACGCAUAAGCUCGUCAACAUAAUCAAUAGUAGCACAUAAGUUACCAACUCCAGAUCACAAAUCAUAUUCCUCAGAAUCCUUUGGGCAGGCUCAGCAAAUAAAAAUAUAGCUCAGAAAGAUGGAACUGGAACUGGAAAUAGAAAUAGAAUCAUACCGUCAGCAGAUGGUUGAGAGGCACUUUGAAUUCCUUGAUGGCGAAUUUCAGAACUAAAAUAUAGAGAAAGAAAAAGAAUUAAACCAGUAACAAUUACAAUAAAGCUUAAAACUGAUUCUUGACAUAUGUGUAAAGAAUAGAAGAAAAGUAUAACAUUGUGAUAAAAGCAACAAUGCCUGCAAGAUUUCAAACAACAGUGAUAAAAUACCUCAAAGAAUUUCAUUACUUUU